rnacentral:rRNA from 1 species
CAAUAGCGUAUAUUAACGUUGUUGCAGUUAAAAAGCUCGUAGUUGGAUUUCUGGAGGGAGCGUCGGCCCGUAUUUACGAGUGCGUGACGUCUCUGUCCAUCCUUGCGGGAAGGCACGGCAUUGAUUUGUUGUGUCGGAUCGCAUCAUUUACUGUGAAAAAAUUAGAGUGUUCAAAGCAGGCUUUCGCUUGAAUACAUUAGCAUGGAAUAAUAAGAUAGGACUUUGGUGCUAUUUUGUUGGUUGAGCCUAAAGUAAUGAUUAAUAGGGAUAGUUGGGGGCACCUGUAUUGCGUUGUCAGAGGUGAAAUUCUUGGAUUUACGGAAGACAAACAGCUGCGAAAGCGUCUGCCAAGGAUGUUUUCAUUA